CGUGUGACUGCGUACCUUUUGUAUAAUGGGUCAGCGACUUAUAUUCUGUAGCAAGGUUAACCGAAUAGGGGAGCCGAAGGGAAACCGAGUCUUAACUGGGCGUUAAGUUGCAGGGUAUAGACCCGAAACCCGGUGAUCUAGCCAUGGGCAGGUUGAAGGUUGGGUAACACUAACUGGAGGACCGAACCGACUAAUGUUGAAAAAUUAGCGGAUGACUUGUGGCUGGGGGUGAAAGGCCAAUCAAACCGGGAGAUAGCUGGUUCUCCCCGAAAGCUAUUUAGGUAGCGCCUCGUGAAUUCAUCUCCGGGGGUAGAGCACUGUUUCGGCAAGGGGGUCAUCCCGACUUACCAACCCGAUGCAAACUGCGAAUACCGGAGAAUGUUAUCACGGGAGACACACGGCGGGUGCUAACGUCCGUCGUGAAGAGGGAAACAACCCAGACCGCCAGCUAAGGUCCCAAAGUCAUGGUUAAGUGGGAAACGAUGUGGGAAGGCCCAGACAGCCAGGAUGUUGGCUUAGAAGCAGCCAUCAUUUAAAGAAAGCGUAAUAGCUCACUGGUCGAGUCGGCCUGCGCGGAAGAUGUAACGGGGCUAAACCAUGCACCGAAGCUGCGGCAGCGACGCUUAUGCGUUGUUGGGUAGGGGAGCGUUCUGUAAGCCUGUGAAGGUGUGCUGUGAGGCAUGCUGGAGGUAUCAGAAGUGCGAAUGCUGACAUAAGUAACGAUAAAGCGGGUGAAAAGCCCGCUCGCCGGAAGACCAAGGGUUCCUGUCCAACGUUAAUCGGGGCAGGGUGAGUCGACCCCUAAGGCGAGGCCGAAAGGCGUAGUCGAUGGGAAACAGGUUAAUAUUCCUGUACUUGGUGUUACUGCGAAGGGGGGACGGAGAAGGCUAUGUUGGCCGGGCGACGGUUGUCCCGGUUUAAGCGUGUAGGCUGGUUUUCCAGGCAAAUCCGGAAAAUCAAGGCUGAGGCGUGAUGACGAGGCACUACGGUGCUGAAGCAACAAAUGCCCUGCUUCCAGGAAAAGCCUCUAAGCAUCAGGUAACAUCAAAUCGUACCCCAAACCGACACAGGUGGUCAGGUAGAGAAUACCAAGGCGCUUGAGAGAACUCGGGUGAAGGAACUAGGCAAAAUGGUGCCGUAACUUCGGGAGAAGGCACGCUGAUAUGUAGGUGAAGUCCCUCGCGGAUGGAGCUGAAAUCAGUCGAAGAUACCAGCUGGCUGCAACUGUUUAUUAAAAACACAGCACUGUGCAAACACGAAAGUGGACGUAUACGGUGUGACGCCUGCCCGGUGCCGGAAGGUUAAUUGAUGGGGUCAGCGCAAGCGAAGCUCUUGAUCGAAGCCCCGGUAAACGGCGGCCGUAACUAUAACGGUCCUAAGGUAGCGAAAUUCCUUGUCGGGUAAGUUCCGACCUGCACGAAUGGCGUAAUGAUGGCCAGGCUGUCUCCACCCGAGACUCAGUGAAAUUGAACUCGCUGUGAAGAUGCAGUGUACCCGCGGCAAGACGGAAAGACCCCGUGAACCUUUACUAUAGCUUGACACUGAACAUUGAGCCUUGAUGUGUAGGAUAGGUGGGAGGCUUAGAAGUGUGGACGCCAGUCUGCAUGGAGCCGACCUUGAAAUACCACCCUUUAAUGUUUGAUGUUCUAACGUUGACCCGUAAUCCGGGUUGCGGACAGUGUCUGGUGGGUAGUUUGACUGGGGCGGUCUCCUCCUAAAGAGUAACGGAGGAGCACGAAGGUUGGCUAAUCCUGGUCGGACAUCAGGAGGUUAGUGCAAUGGCAUAAGCCAGCUUGACUGCGAGCGUGACGGCGCGAGCAGGUGCGAAAGCAGGUCAUAGUGAUCCGGUGGUUCUGAAUGGAAGGGCCAUCGCUCAACGGAUAAAAGGUACUCCGGGGAUAACAGGCUGAUACCGCCCAAGAGUUCAUAUCGACGGCGGUGUUUGGCACCUCGAUGUCGGCUCAUCACAUCCUGGGGCUGAAGUAGGUCCCAAGGGUAUGGCUGUUCGCCAUUUAAAGUGGUACGCGAGCUGGGUUUAGAACGUCGUGAGACAGUUCGGUCCCUAUCUGCCGUGGGCGCUGGAGAACUGAGGGGGGCUGCUCCUAGUACGAGAGGACCGGAGUGGACGCAUCACUGGUGUUCGGGUUGUCAUGCCAAUGGCACUGCCCGGUAGCUAAAUGCGGAAGAGAUAAGUGCUGAAAGCAUCUAAGCACGAAACUUGCCCCGAGAUGAGUUCUCCCUGACCCUUUAAGGGUCCUGAAGGAACGUUGAAGACGACGACGUUGAUAGGCCGGGUGUGUAAGCGCAGCGAUGCGUUGAGCUAACCGGUACUAAUGAACCGUGAGGCUUAACCUU
rnacentral:rRNA from 1 species